rnacentral:rRNA from 1 species
CGCCUGUUUAUCAAAAACAUCGCCUUUUGCCUUUCAAUAAAAUAAAGGUACAACCUGCCCAGUGAGACAUUUCAACGGCCGCGGUACCCUGACCGUGCUAAGGUAGCAGCAAUCACUUGCCCUUUAAUUGGGGGCUAGUAUGAAUGGUCAAACGAGGGUGAACCUGUCUCAUUAAGGCCUUACCAAAAAUUAUCCUCCACGUGAAGAGACCUGGAUAUAAUAAAAAGACGAGAAGACCCUGUCAAGCUUUACACUGCCCGGGCCUAUCAAUUACUAGCCCAGCCACGUGUUUUGUUGGGGCAACACAGGAACACACGCUUCCUCACUAUAACUUCAACUUCACUAAACAAUCCGACAGCGUCGAAUAAAGACAAAGCUACUGCAGGGAUAACAGGCUAAUCUGCUUCGAGAGCCCACAUUGACAAGCAGGCUUGGCACCUCGAUGUUGGCUUAAGAACCCUUAUUGGGGCAGCCCCCAAUAGAAGGAGGUUUGUUCAACCUAUAAUUUCUUACGUGAUCUGAGUUUCCAGACCGGA